UUUUUUUUUUUUCCCACGUGACGUCGUGAAUUGCAAUUUAUGGUAGUCGUUCCUGUUCCUGCCAUGUGAGUGAGCAUUCUCUUUCAAGCGUUUGCACAGCUCAUUCCUUUUUGCUGGUAACCCCCAUAUAUAACAUUUCCUUUCAAGGUUCCGGGUUGAUGAUUGGUUGUCCAUUUGACCUUUACUGAUAAGUCAUCUGGGUCUUCAUUUUCACCUCUAUUAUUUCGUUUUUUUCCCUCUCGCCAGCGCCCCCCCCCCCCCCCCCCCCCCCCCCCCGCGGCGCCGACCCCCUCUCUCUCUCUCUCUCUAGAUGGGGAUUAUACUACUUGGCUGAGUGGAUUGCUUUCUCAUUAAUCUAUGGAAAUCAUUUAAUACGAGCUCUGAUGGGUAAUUCUAUGUUAUCAAUUGUGUACAAAGGCUUUGGUGGAAAUCCUGCGUAAGAUUAAUAUUGGGGCAGGCGAAGAAAUUGUUGUGCUUGGUGAAAAUGAAUCUUAUUUGGUUUAUUUUGUCGCUGUUUCUCUAUUUUGGGCUGUCCACAUAUGGGUUUAGUAAGAAUGUUUCUUCAAGACCUGCUGUUGUGAAUAUUGGAGCUCUUUUUACGUUUGAAUCUACCAUAGGAAGAGUCGCCAAGAUUGCCAUUGAGGAAGCUGUGAAAGAUGUCAACUCCAAUUCCAGCAUUCUCCAUGGAACAAAACUUGCUGUAACUAUGCAAGAUUCCAAUUGCAGUGGAUUUUUUGGCAUGGUUGGAGCUUUGCAAUUUAUGGAGACUGAUAUAGUUGCCAUCAUAGGCCCGCAAUCUUCUGUAGUUGCGCAUAUUAUAUCCCAUGUAGCAAAUGAACUCCAAGUUCCUCUAUUAUCGUUUGGGGCCUCAGAUCCCACCCUCUCUUCCCUUCAGUUUCCCUUUUUUGUUAGAACAAGACAGAGCGAUUUGUACCAAAUGACAGCAGUGGCUGAGGUUGUUGAUUAUUAUGGUUGGAAGGACGUAAUUGCCAUUUUCAUUGACGAUGACUACGGACGGAAUGGUGUGGCAGCAUUAGAUGAUAAACUAGCAGAGAGGCGCUGUAAAAUUUCCUACAAGCAGGGAAUUAGCCCUGGGUCUGAAGUUAAUCGGGGUGACAUUAUGGAUCUUCUUAUCAAGGUUGCAUUAAUGGAGUCUCGAAUUAUUGUUCUGCAUGUAAAUCCUGAUUCAGGAUUAAUGGUUUUCUCUGUAGCACAAUAUCUUGGAAUGAUGGGAAAUGGCUUUGUAUGGAUAGCUACUGAUUGGCUCUCCUCUGUUUUAGAUUCUUCUGCUCCUCUUCCUCCAGAGACAAUGGAUUCAAUACAAGGAGUUCUUGUUUUGCGCCAACAUACACCAGAUUCAGAUAGAAAAAAAGCUUUUUUCUCUAGGUGGAAAAGGUUAACUGGUGGUUCUUUGGGAUUGCAUUCAUAUGGGCUUUCUGCUUAUGAUUCUGUUUGGCUGCUUGCCCAUGCUAUUGAUGCAUUUUUUAACCAGGGAGGGGUGAUUUCUUUUUCUAAUGAUUCUAGGUUGCAGUCUGCAUUAGGCGACAAUCUCCACCUUGAAGCAAUGAAUAUUUUUGAUGAUGGAAUUCUGCUGUUGCAGUGCAUCCUGCAGAGUAACCUUGCUGGUUUGACAGGUCCUAUUAAGUUUAACUCAGAUAGGUCUCUUAUUCUUCCUGCAUAUGAUAUCAUUAAUGUCGUAGGAACUGGGUUUCGACGGAUUGGUUACUGGUCAAACUAUUCUGGCUUAUCAGUCGUGGCUCCUGAGACGCUCUAUGCAAUGCCACCUAAUCAUUCAAGUGCAAACCAGCAACUAUACAGUGUUAUCUGGCCAGGAGAAACAUUAUUGAAGCCCCGUGGAUGGGUUUUCCCAAACAAUGGGAAGCAACUGAAAAUUGGUGUACCUAAUCGAGCUAGUUACCGAGCAUUUGUAUCACGAGUGCGGGGAAGUGAUAUGUUUAAGGGUUUCUGCAUAGAUGUAUUUACAGCUGCUGUUAACUUGUUACCUUAUGCUGUUCCAUACCGAUUUGUCCCUUUUGGAAAUGGUAUCGAAAACCCAAGCUACACAGAGCUUGUAAAUAUGAUCACAGCUGGUGAUUUUGAUGCUGCUGUUGGUGACAUUGCAAUUGUCACAAAUCGAACAAAAAUUGUGGAUUUUACACAGCCAUAUGCUUCAUCUGGACUUGUUGUUGUGGUCCCAUUAAAAAAAAAAAACUCUGGUGCUUGGGCUUUCCUGCGGCCAUUUAGUCGAAAUAUGUGGAUUGUCAGUGCUUGUUUCUUCGUUUUGAUUGGCACUGUUGUGUGGAUUCUGGAGCAUAGAACAAAUGAUGAGUUCAGGGGCCCUCCUAAAAAACAACUUAUGACCAUUCUAUGGUUUAGCCUCUCAACUAUGUUUUUUGCCCAUAGAGAAAACACUGUGAGCACCCUUGGUCGAAUGGUGCUAAUCAUAUGGCUCUUUGUGGUUUUGAUAAUCAACUCAAGCUACACUGCGAGUCUGACAUCAAUCCUCACAGUGCAGCAUCUGUCUUCGCCUAUUGAAGGGAUUGAAAGCUUGAAGAUGAGUGAGGAGCUAAUUGGGUACCAAGUGGGCUCCUUUGCUGAACAUUAUUUGGAGGAACUUGGCAUAUCCAAAUCUAGGCUUGUUGCUCUUGGAUCACCUGAUGCGUAUGCUUUAGCCCUUCAGCGUGGUCCUGAAAAAGGCGGUGUUGCAGCGAUUGUUGAUGAACUUCCUUACAUAGAACUAUUCCUCUCCAGCCAGUGCAAAUUCAGGGUUGUAGGUCAAGAGUUCACCAAAAGUGGCUGGGGUUUUGCAUUUCCUCGGGACUCUCCUUUAGCAAUUGACAUGUCAACUGCUAUUCUACAACUGUCAGAGAAUGGUGAUCUUCAGCGGAUCCAUGAUAAGUGGUUGAUGCAAAGCACUUGCAGUUUAGAGUCUGCUGAAAUUGAAUCAAAUCAGCUUCAACUUAAAAGCUUCUGGGGUCUCUUUCUUAUUUGUGGGAUGGCUUGCUUCUUUGCUCUCGUCAUAUAUUUCUUGCAGAUUAUGCAGCAGUUAUGCCGAACUGGCCCCUCUGAAUCUAUUUCCACUGGUCCAAAUAACUCAAUUUCUGGGCGUGUCAGGAGAUUGUUGUCAUUGAUGGAUGAGAAAGUCGACCACUCAAAUAGUGGAAGUAAAAGAAGGAAAGUGGAAAGAUCAUUAUCUGAAAUUUCCAAUGACAGUGAGUUGGUAAGUAGGAGACAGACUGGAAUGACUACUGGGACCCACAUCAGCUCAAGCAAUUAACUUCGUUUUUCAUUUGGGGCAUCCCUAAUCAUCGUAACAUUACAUGAAUAUAUACUGGAAGCAUUUUCCGUUCCAAGAUCUUGUUUCAAGGAUUUCAAUGCAUAUUUCAAGUCAAGGGAUUUCAACGUGCUUCUUACUUUGAUUUGUUACGCAUUGUCCUAACCAUGGCUUUAGGAAUCAAUUUUACUUAGUGCACAACCUCUCCCAAGCUCACAGCAUUUGCCACUCUCCAUGUGCUUGACACCUGAUCGUACCAUGUUUUGUACAGGUCCUUUCCUGUCUGAGAGCUUGAGCACAAAUUAAUUCAGCACAUUUUGGUACCUCAAACCAGUCCUGGGAACCUCCUACGACAUCUAUCGAGGAAAAAUACUGCUUGCCGAUGUUGUAAACAUGUUUUGUGAGACAGUAUUGCGAUAUUAAGCCAAGACCCGUUUCACGUAUUCUUUUGUGAAAUCGAUUUCUACUUGCAAUACCUCAUAACAUUCACAUACUUCAUAACUAUUGAUUUCUUACAUCUAUUGCAUGAACACGAUUGAUGGGAAAUACUAAUCACAUGAAGUCACAUAAAUUUGUGAAUUUAUUUUUGUA